UACGUAGGGGGCAAGCGUUGUCCGGAUUUAUUGGGCGUAAAGAGCGUGUAGGCGGCCAUACAGGUCCGUUGUGAAAACUCGAGGCUCAACCUCGAGACGUCGAUGGAAACCGUAUGGCUAGAGUCCGGAAGAGGAGAGUGGAAUUCCUGGUGUAGCGGUGAAAUGCGCAGAUAUCAGGAGGAACACCGGUGGCGAAGGCGGGUCUCUGGGCCGGUACUGACGCUGAGACGCGAAAGCGUGGGGAGCGAACAGG
rnacentral:rRNA from 1 species